CAGGGUGAGCUAGCGGCCCCAGUUCCGAACAAAUUAGGGACUCUCCGCCUCGCUCAGUCACGUUUUGGAGGGAGGGCAGCGGAGGCAGCCCCGCCGCCCUGGAAGACCCCCGGCUCUACAGAAACCUGGAUUCUGCCCUGACAGUGUUUCAACAGCAAGGAGUUCAACACAUCACAGCACCACAGGCGCUGGGCAUGUGAGGUUGUGCCUGAUCCUUUUCUCCACCUGGGCUUGUUCUAAGGACAAAGUGGAAAAUGAGAAGUGAAUGUAAAAUGAACCAAGACCUACUAAAGGAAGAAAGAAAAAUGGAGAGGGAUCCUCCUGUCAUCCCCAACCCCAAAGAGCCACCUAGAAUCCCCAGGGGUCUAGAACAAAAAUAUGGUAGCAUGAGCCAACCUCAACUAUUCAAGCAAUGAUCAUACUCUGGGGUGAUGGCAAACCAAGACAAAAGGAGCGUGCAUCCCAGGGUGAGCAGUGAAGCAGCUCACCACAGGCAUCCACCUUACCAGACUACUAAGUGAGAAAGAAACCAGCUUCUCAUU